GACAGAGGAUGCAAGCGUUAUCCGGAAUGAUUGGGCGUAAAGCGUCUGUAGGUGGCUUUUUAAGUCCGCCGUCAAAUCCCAGGGCUCAACCCUGGACAGGCGGUGGAAACUACCAAGCUGGAGUACGGUAGGGGCAGAGGGAAUUUCCGGUGGAGCGGUGGAAAUGCGUAGAUAUCAGGAGGAACACCGGUGGCGAAGGCGGGUCUCUGGGCCGAUACUGACGCUGAGGAGCGAAAGCGUGGGGAGCGAACAGG
rnacentral:rRNA from 1 species